AUCUCUCUCUUUUUACAUCAACAAUAAUAUACACUAACUCUCUGAAAGAUCUCUGCAAUUAAGAGCACUCCUCCGAUCCUCCAUACUGCAGAUACAAGUGCAGCCAAGAAUGGCUCUAUUUUGCAGGUUCAUUCCCAAGACUGCCAUGCCAAGUUUUCCCAUGUUGAAGCUCAACACCAUAAUAAUAAGAUGCGCGGCGACGAAGACACCACCUCGGAACAAGGCAAAGCCAGCACCUCCACAGACCAAUCAAGUUCCCACCACAAGUAGCGAGCAGAAAACAGUAAUAAUGAA